rnacentral:rRNA from 1 species
AACGAACGCUGGCGGCAUGCCUAACACAUGCAAGUCGAACGAGACCUUCGGGUCUAGUUGCGCACGUGUGGUUAACGCGUGGGAACCUGCCCUUAGGUUCGGAAUCACUCCCCGAAAGGGGUGCUAAUACCGGUUAAUGUCUUCGGACCAAAGAUUUAUCUCCUUUGGAUGGGCCCGCGUUGGAUUAGCUAGUUGGUAAGGUAAAACCCUACCAAGGCUACGAUCAGUAGCUAGUCUGAGAGGAUGAUCAGGCACAAUUGGAAUGAGACACAGCCCAGACUCCUACGGGACGCAGCAGUGGGGAAUAUUGGACAAUGGGGCCAAACCUGACCCAGCCACGCCGCGUGAGUGAUGAAGGCCUUAGGGUUGUAAAGCUCUUUUACCCGGGAUGAUAAUGACAGUACCGGGAGAAUAAGCUCCGGCUAACUACGUG